rnacentral:tRNA from 1 species
GCGUCCUUAGCUCAGUGGUAGAGCAUCACCUUGACACGGUGGGGGUCGGAGGUUCGAAACCUCCAGGACGCA